rnacentral:tRNA from 1 species
AUUUAGGUAGUUUAAUAAGAAUAAUAAUUUGUGAUGUUGUUGGUGAUAUUUAUCUCUAAAUU